rnacentral:rRNA from 1 species
GACGAACGCUGGCGGCGUGCCUAAUACAUGCAAGUAGAACGCUGAAGGAGGAGCUUGCUUCUCUGGAUGAGUUGCGAACGGGUGAGUAACGCGUAGGUAACCUGCCCGGUAGCGGGGGAUAACUAUUGGAAACGAUAGCUAAUACCGCAUAAGAGUAGAUGUUGCAUGACAUUUGCUUAAAAGGUGCAAUUGCAUCACUACCAGAUGGACCUGCGUUGUAUUAGCUAGUUGGUGGGGUAACGGCUCACCAAGGCGACGAUACAUAGCCGACCUGAGAGGGUGAUCGGCCACACUGGGACUGAGACACGGCCCAGACUCCUACGGGAGGCAGCAGUAGGGAAUCUUCGGCAAUGGACGGAAGUCUGACCGAGCAACGCCGCGUGAGUGAAGAAGGGUUUCGGAUCGUAAAGCUCUGUUGUAAGAGAAGAACGAGUGUGAGAGUGGAAAGUUCACACUGUGACGGUAUCUUACCAGAAAGGGACGGCUAACUACGUG